AUGUGUUAGUGGCUGCGAACAUUGUAGAAGGGACUCAGUUGCCGUCGACAGACGGGGCCUUUCGUGGUGGUCGCCCCCCUGGUCAUGGUCGUUGCCGAAGCUUUCGUCCUCGUAUCCAAUGUCAAAUCUGCAGCCGAUUUGGUCAUCUCGCGCAGCAAUAUUACUACCGCUAUCAUCGUGAGGGGCAGCCGUUGUUGGAAGCACGGGUGCUGGAAGGGAGCCAUGGUGGUUUUACUUUUGGUGAGAACAGAGAAGAGUUUGGACGUGAGAAUCGAAUCCCUAUGUAUGGUCAAAAUUGGGGUUUUCUGGUCAACAUUGAAGGCCUCAAAUUCGGCUGAAUGAAGUUUUUAUUGACCUUCUAUCACGUGGGCCAUCUACAGGUUAUAAAAGUAAUGGAUUUAAUCCAUUUAAUCAAGCUGGUAAUGGGCAAAAUGAUGGUGCUGGCCAAAAUUUCAAUUCUGGCUCUUAUGGGCGUAAUGACUUUGGCAUUGGACGGCGUUCCCUUGACCUACAAUUUGAUGGUGAUUCUUUGGGCCACCCGUAUAGUGGGCCGACUUCUAGACCCCGUGGGCCCAGUGGGUCGGUUCGGUCCCGUUCGAAUGAUGACCAUAUUUUGCCAGAGCCUUCUGCUAACUGUGUCAAUGUUACCCGAUCUUGGAAGACUGUUCAUGAGGCUCCGUGGCGUACUAAACCGCGUGCUCGUGUGUUUAGUGUGGAUUCUUCUUCGUAUGAUUUGUCUCAAUUUGUUGGGAUCCCUCUCCGGCUUCUUGAGUUUAGGAAGUACAUCAUGAUGCUCAGACUUAGGGGUUAUUCACCAUGUUUGUCGAGACACUUCGGAUCUACAUGGUUCCACUCUGUACUCUGGACUCCAGACACGGGAAAUCUUAAUGCGGGGUCAAGUUCGUGAUGGGCUCUAUCAUUUCUCAGCUGGUUCAGAUAGUGUGUUAUCUUCUGUUCCCACUGCUGCUCACGUUUACUCUUCCGUUGAUGAUGUGUUUAGUUUGUGGCAUAAAAGGCUGGGUCAUCCGGCGGAUAAUAUUGUAAAAAAUGUUCUUACAAGUUGUCAAAUUUCUUUCAAUAAAAACCGUCUUGCUAGUGUUUGUGUAGCUUGUCAAAAAGGUAAAUCACAUAAGUUGCCUUUUUCACCUUCUAGCACUAAAUAUGUUGAUUUGUUUGAAUUGGUUGUUUCGAAUUUGCGGCGCCCAGCUGCUGUUUCAUGUGAAGGAAA